GGUGAGCGUGGCCAAGUGGUAAGGCAGAGUCUUGUGGCGACUCUAUUCGUGGGUUCAAUUCCCAUCGUUUGCCUC
rnacentral:tRNA from 1 species